AGCCCACUUUGUGCUGUGCAGUCAGACCCAGUUCUUACUUAAAAUAGGCCACCGUUACUAGGAGCAUUUAUCUGGCUAUUUCACUGUGCUUAGUAACUAUGAGAGAACUUUCUCCAUGGUUCUGGAAGGCAUUAGCAUAGUGGCGAAGAACUGAGUUGUUAGAGGGGAAAUCUAACUCAGGAAUUCUCCUACGGAGGUAGACAGCUGGCUCUAUUGGUCUGAACUCUGAGAGAGACAGGUGGACAGAUGGGGUGGGGUAUAGGUCUGAGAGUCACUACCACAUAGAUGGUAGGUGAACUGGGGAACUUGCCCAGGGAGAGUGCCUAGGGGGAGAAGAGAGAGGCUUGGAUAAAAUCCCUGAAUACCACCUAAGGCACAAAGAAGAAUCUUGAAGGAAGACCAAGGAGUGGCCAGAGAAGUAAGAAGAAAACCAAGAGAGAAACAUAUCACAGAAGCCCAGGCAGCUGUGCUUCAAGAAAAAGGAAGAGAAAGUGGGUAAAAAAGGAACUGAAUCAUAUGAAUUGGAUAAAGGAACAAGGUAGUUGAUGUCUUUGGGGAGUUCCCAUUGUGGCUGAGCAGGUUAAGGACCCAACACAGAGUCUGUGAGGAUGCAGGUUUGACCCCUGGCCUCCCACAGUGGGUUAAGGAUCUGGCGUUGCCGCAAGCUGGGUGUAGUUUGCAGAUACAGCUCGGGUCUGGCAUUGCCAUGGCUGUGGUAUAGGCUGCAACUGCAGCUCCAAUACAGCCCCUAGCCUGGGAACUUCCGUAUGCUGCAGGUGUGGCCCUAAAAAGAAAAAAAAAAAGAGUGAAUGGGAGUGAGAAAAUACAGGCAAUGUGUGUAGACCAUAUUUGAGAAACUGGGAAGGAGAGUAAAGGGUUAGAGUAAAAGCUGGAGGGUGAGGAGGGACCGAUAGAUGGUAAGUUUAGAAUGCGAAAGUGUAUUUCACUUCUUAGAGAAAGAAGCAGGAGAAAAGGGGAAGAAAGACACAGGAUAGUGAGAGGACCUGUUGCCUCAGCACUCUUAAUAUCAGAGAUCCUUCCUGACCUCAGAUCAAACAUAUUAAAAUGCACCUGCCAUUCACGCUAAGUAUGUCUUUCGCAAAGAAAAAAAAAUUACAAGGACGUUUAUAAUUUUGCUUGCAAAAUGAGUUGGCGGUGGAUAACUCAGUUUGUAAUUCAGUCUCAUUGAUCAACAAUCCAAAAGACUGUCAGGGAAAAUCCUAGAAUUAAUAGGACAGUCUUUUACUACAUUUAAGUGUUUGAAAAAAAAAACAAAAAACCAAUAGUGCAUAGUCGGGAGUUUGGAAAAUGGAGACCAUCCAACUCACAAAUUAUUUGCAAAUGGAGUGAAAUGUUUAUGAGUAUUAGGUCUGCAAUGCUGACAUAAUAUUGCAUUUUAUUUACCUUCUAUUAUUUAUUACAUUUGCUUUGCAUUAUUUACAUUUUGAAUGCAAACUUUUUUUUUUUUUUGCUUUUGGACACACACAUGUCUUCUUGAAACCGAGCAGGGCCCCAUGGUGCCCCUGGGCACAAAAGCCUUUCUGUGUCCCCCAUUUCUGCUUCUUAGGAAAUGGGCUUCAUUCAGCCACCAUGACCUUCCCUGAGUUCCUAGAGGCAGUUCAGACAGUUGCUGCUCAGGGCAGGGAUGGGAUGCAGAGACAGCGGAGGAACAGUCAAGCACCAACAGUACAGCCUUGGGGCAGGAUCCUGGUCCACUCUCAAGGGAUACACACAAGGAUGUAGGUAUCUUACACACCUAAAAGAAAAGUUAUGUUCCUUAUGCUUCUUUUAGAAAUGAAUACUUAAAAACUGAACAGCUUAGAGUCCUUCCUUCUCCUUCUCCCUGACCCUAAACACAAUCACUUCUAAGCUAAAGAUUAGGCACCCUGAGCAUAACUGCUUGUGGGUUAAAGAUUAUUAGCCCAUGAUGUUUUUCAGGAACUUGCCUAGUUUGUCCUAAUCUCUGAUCAAUGUGCCCUUUUUGCUACUGUUACUCUAGGCAGUAACCCAGAAUCUCUGAUCAAUGUGCCCUUUUUGCUACUGUUACUCUCGGCAGUAACCCAGAAGACCGCCGUCAUGAUCAGGCUGAGAUCUCCUGAUCCAGCUGUGAUGGAUUAAGAUCCCCCCAAAGAGAAUGCGCGUUUGUCCCGAUCCUGAUUCCUAUCUGAAAACUGUCUUUCUCCUUUUUAGUAUAAAUCUCCUGGAAGUUCUUUCCAAUGGGGGCCACAGUCUUCAGGGCAUUAGCCUGCCGUGACCCUCCUUUGCCUGGCAAAGCAGGACAGCUAAUCUUUUCUCCUUUUCUCCAAACUGUCUCUGCAUUUCCAUUCGGCACCAGCGGACACAGGCCGAAAUCCGACAACUGUCUAAAGACCAAGGUUCCUGAAAAGAUAGGAGGUGUCAGGGUAAAGAAGAGAGGUGAAGGAUUCGUCUUGAAAAGGAAACUCAUCUUUUUGCACAAGGAAAGGACAAAAGAGCAGGGGAAGAAGCACGUUGAUAAAAUUCCCAUCUCAUGGUAGCUGGUUACUCUAGCAAGUAGGCAUUAAAAAGCUGUCACUU
rnacentral:lncRNA from 1 species